AUGGCAUGAUGGGGACAUUUCCUGAUAAGGUCCUUUAAUCUUUCCUAUGACUCAUGGAACUGCUCACCAUCUGUCUGUGUGAAGCUAGUGAGAGCUCGCCUU
rnacentral:snoRNA from 1 species